ACAGCAGUCGCCACGGUAAUACGUAGGUGGCAAGCGUUGUCCGGAAUUAUUGGGCGUAAAGCGCGCGCAGGCGGAUCAGUUAGUCUGUCUUAAAAGUUCGGGGCUUAACCCCGUGAGGGGAUGGGAACUGCUGAUCUAGAGUAUCGGAGAGGAAAGUGGAAUUCCUAGUGUAGCGGUGAAAUGCGUAGAUAUUAGGAAGAACACCAGUGGCGAAGGCGACUUUCUGGACGAAAACUGACGCUGAGGCGCGAAAGCCAGGGGAGCGAACGGGAUUAGAUACCCCAGUAGUCCCUGUCUCUUAUACA
rnacentral:rRNA from 1 species